AUUGAACGCUGGCGGCAGACUUAACACAUGCAAGUCGAGCGGAGCGGCGGACGGGUGAGUAAUGCUUAGGAAUCUGCCUAUCAGUGGGGGACAACAUCUCGAAAGGGAAGCGAAUACCGCAUACUACUAGAUGAGUCUAAGUCGGAUUAGCUAGUUGGUGGGGUAAAGGCCUACCAAGGCGACGAUCUGCAGCGGGUCUGAGUGGAUGAUCCGCCACACUGGGACGGGGGUACGGCCCAGACUCAUACGGGAGGCAGCAGAGGGGAAUAUUGGACAAUGGGGGGAACCCUGAUCCAGCCAUGGCGCGUGUGUGAAGAAGGCCUUAUGGUUGUAAAGCGCUGUAAGCGAGGAGGCGUUACUCGCAGAAUAAGCACCGGCUAACUCAGUGCCAGCAGCCGCGGUAAAAC
rnacentral:rRNA from 1 species